AAUUUCGAAGCACCCGUGCCCAGUCAGCACC
rnacentral:sRNA from 1 species